UACGAAGGGGGCUAGCGUUGCUCGGAAUUACUGGGCGUAAAGCGCACGUAGGCGGGUCUUUAAGUCAGGGGUGAAAUCCUGGAGCUCAACUCCAGAACUGCCCUUGAUACUGGCGGCCUUGAGUCCGGGAGAGGUGAGUGGAACUGCGAGUGUAGAGGUGAAAUUCGUAGAUAUUCGCAAGAACACCAGUGGCGAAGGCGGCUCACUGGCCCGGUACUGACGCUGAGGUGCGAAAGCGUGGGGAGCAAACAGG
rnacentral:rRNA from 1 species